UUUGUUUGAGCCUUAAUAUCACGGAACCUUUGUAGUUUAAUUUCCAUUUUUGUUUUUGGGUUAAGUGACUUGGGAAAAUGCUCUAGAAGCAAUUCCAAGAUCACAUUUGAACAUUGUAGUAGUGUAAUUUCGUUUUCUUAGUGUGGAAGUGUGUCAAGGGGCUCCAAGUGUCACUUGCACUUUCACUUAAGGCCGUCUAGCAUUUACAUUUUGCACCUUUAUUGCUUUCUUUAAUUUGCUUGUUGAUUUCUUUGUAUUUGCUUGUUGAUUUCUUUGUUUUAAGUCUUCGUGGUAUAUAGGAUUGCAUAGCAUAUAGGUAAACCUUCUUUUGGUUUUUAGGAUCAUUCCAUUAAUUGUAGAGAUUCUUUGUUUAGGUUCUUUUAUUGUUUCCUUUCUAGACUUGUAAUUAGGAUUUGCUAGGUUAAUAUCAUUCUGUCUUAGGUAUCUUUUGCUUAUUAGGUUUAGGUUAUUUUUUUUUCCUUUUGCUGUUUUGCUUUGUUGAGCCUUAGUAUAGGAAUUGUUUUAAGUUGUCCAGUAGGAAAUGUUUUUCCUUUUCAUCAUACUGUAUUGUUUUGUCUUAUUUGUUUAGAUUGUAAAUAGCUUAGGUAAUCAUGGUUAGUCUUAGUUGUUUCUCGGGCUGUCCUGAAGGCAGAUCCAAGUUUGGAUGAAGCUCCUUGGCCAUCUUUAUCAGCUGAUGCAGUGGAUUUUGUAAAGAGACUGUUGAACAAAGAUUAUCGGAAAAGGCUAAUGGCAGCUCAGGCUCCGAGUCAUCCAUGGCUGACGAGUCAUUGUGAUGAUGUGAAGAUACCUAUUGAUAAGAUAAUCCACAAGCUUGUUAAAGCUUAUAUAUGUUUAUCUUCCUUACACAAAUAAGCAUUAGGGGUAUGUAAUAUUGCCUCGUCAUUUGUUAUUUAUGCUAAUGAAGGCCAAUCUUAAUUUUUCCCUUGCUACCA